UCUUCUCUUUGUUCUAAUGUUCUUAACAUUAAUUGGUGUGUUCGGUUACUUGUUUGGCAAGGAACAAACUUUGUAAGUCCGAAUGCUUUGAAAAAAUAAUACAAAAAAUGUUUUUUUUGCUAUACGAGUAUGAAUUUAACCCCCACUAUAUCUGAUUUCACGAUUUGAAAAAUUCUCUUAACAUAUAUAUUCAAUCACACAACUCAAAAACCUCCCGUUUCAUUUCAGUUUCUCUCCGACUUGUAAAAAUUGUUCC